rnacentral:lncRNA from 1 species
AAACGAGGAGAGUAUUAUCAUCCAGAACCUCAAGACCACCCCUUGCUCACAAAAAACCCCCAUGUUCUUGUUCCCCAUUUGGAGAUUGGUUUGUACCUUCAGAAACCGGUACCUGACCUCAUGACCUCCUAUGCCCCUCCUCGGCUCUUUUCAAGUCACUUACCACUUGUGUCUCUACCGGAAUCAGUCAAAGAGACUGCUUGCAAGGUUGUCUAUCUGUGUAGGAACCCUAAGGACACAUUUGUUUCACUCUGGCACUUCGCAAACAAAUUGAGACCCGAGAGUUGGGGAAGCAUUUCACUUGAAGAAGCUUUGGAAUUGUUCUGCAGGGGAGUGAGUAUGUGUGGACCCUUUUGGGAUCAUGUUUUGGGGUACUGGAAUGAGAGCUUGAAAAGGCCUCAAAGUGUAUUUUUCAUCAAAUAUGAGGAAAUGAAAGAAGAAGAAGAAGCCGGUUCUCACUUGAGGAAGCUAGCUGAGUUCUUGGGGUGCCCAUUUUCUCCAGAAGAAGAGGCACAAGGGGUGGUGGGCAACAUCCUGAAGCAGUGUAGUUUUGAGACUUUGAGCAAUUUGGAUGUGAACAAAAGAGGGAAGUUAUCAUCCGGCGAGGAGCAUAGUGCUUUCUUUCGGCGAGGGGAGGCUGGAGAUUGGAGGAAUCAUUUGACUGCUGAGAUGGCGGAACAGAUAGACCGUAUCACUGAAGAGAAGUGGCAAGGUUCUGGAUUGAAAUUCUAAGUGUGCAUGUGUGCAUGUGUUUGAUUACUUCUUUGUUGUUUGUGUUUGUGUGUGGACUUUGACCUUGGUUAAUUGGUCCUAAUGUCAGUAUCUUCAAUCUCAUUAGAUAAAAUGUAUGACCUUGGUUAAUUGGUCCUAAUGUCAGUAUCUUCAAUCUCAUUAGAUAAAAUGUAUGAAUUUGACCUUGGUUAGUUCCAACGUCAAUAUUUGAAUCUUGUGAAAUAAAAGUAUUGCCGAUUUGCUGUCCAAUAUUACUGUAUCAAAGACACGAAUGAAAUUUAUAAACAGAUGAAUGCCAAUAGCUACACACAUCUGGCUUCAGCAUGCUACUGUUAGACUGUACUACAUUUCGGAUUUAUCUUCGACAUAUUAGCUAGCUUCUCUUCCUGAUCGAUCAGAUCGUAUAGUGAAAAAACUAGAAUGUUUCUAGCAGCGAAAUAGUCUGAUAGGGCGUGAAAGUUUGCAGAAGAUUUGGGAAGGGAAGACAGAUGAUGCACCUCUAUGAAUUCCAGAGAGUUUCAGUGAUGGCUCUCAAACCCCACCGCCUCCAUAAACGGGGAUGUAUUCACCUCUGCAUUCAUUUUAGACUUCGGAUUUUCUCUUUAUCAUGACUAGAGUUCAAUGCUAUUUCGGACUUGAGCAGAAUGAACAAGCACAACAGAGAGGAGGUUCUGCAGAAAGCCGAAAAGGAUUUAGUCGCAGUGGCAGAUCAGUUCAUGGUCUGGCUGAUUAAGGAGCUGCAAGGGACUGAUUUUUGGAUGCUACGACAAGCAUACUCGCCUGGGGUAGCUUCUACUUGUGCUGCAUUAUUAUGUGGUGUUGAUUCGCUUGAGUUGUGGUUUGGUGUUGCAGAUACAAGAGCGUGUUGAAGCUGCAACCUUCUGUAAAUUCUGCGGGAAAAUGUAGGCGAGCUGAUUAUGGAUUAAGAGUACUGCAGGUAACUGAAAGUGAUGAAUGCUUUGGAUUUUGACUAAAGUAUAUACGUUGCUGCCCAGCUUGCAAAUUUAACUGGAGAGAUGAUGCUGGAGGCAAUUGUGCUGGUGAAGUUGAUGUUGCUGAGAAGACAUGCAAGUUUGUGCUUGAAAUUUACAGGGAACUGACUCCGGUUUGUCCCCUUUAUGGAUGAUAUAUAGUAAUGAAUAUAAUGUCUAUAAUGUUAAGAUAUAAACACAACUGUUCUUUGAUCAGUAGGGGACUAUACAUCUGACGUUCUGACCAAACCUUCAAAGCCAAAACCAAACCCAUAAACGUGGUUGCCUACUAUAUAAUGGAAGCCGUCCCAUGCUUGUUAGCAGGCAAUAUAUUGAGGUUUAAUAUUAACAGCUUUUCUAUGUUAAGAUUUUAUCGAGAUUUUCUUACGCAUCUUUCGAUACUAAUUGAGGUUUAAUAUUACAGUCGAACUUUUCUAUGUUAAGAUUUUAUCAAGAUUUUCUUACGCAUCUUUCGAUACUGAUUGAGGUUUAAUAUUACAGUCGAGCUUUUCUAUAUUAAGAUUCAUCAAGAUUUUCUUACGCAUCUUCCGAUAUUAAAAUGUCGUAGGUAAAGAAAACUGUCUCUUUGAUCAAUAGGCUGGGGAUAUAUACAUCUGUGCUAGCUCGUUUAGUAGGCAAUCAAAAUCUGAUCGUUUCGUGACUACCAGAAGGGUAUCAUGUCACUAACUCAGCCUCCUCCAGCUCUUCCCCAAUACUUGCAAGAAAAUGAGAUCAGCCAAGAAACCAGAGACAUGAUAUCUACUCUACCUAGAGAUCAAGGUUGGGUUGUAAGUCAUCUCUAUCAGUACCAAGGCUUUUGGCACUCAACUAGGCAGAUAGAAGGAGUCUUGGCGUGCCAAGAAAACUUCCGAGCUCAAGAUUCUGAUAUCUUACUUGUUACUACUCCCAAAUCAGGUACCACUUGGCUUAAGGCAAUCUUGUUUUCCCUUGUGAAACGAGGAGAGUAUUAUCAUCCAGACCCUAAAGACCACCCCUUCCUCACGAAAAACCCUCAUGUUCUUGUGCCCUUCUUGGAGCUUGGUCUGUACCUUCAGAAACCGGUACCUGACCUCGCCUCCUAUGCCCCUCCUCGGCUCUUUUCAACUCACUUACCACUUGUGUCUCUACCGGAAUCAGUCAAAGACUCUGCUUGC